CUACGGGAGGCUGCAGUAGGGAAUCUUCCGCAAUGGGCGCAAGCCUGAUGCAGCCAUGCCGCGUGUGUGAAGAAGGCCUUCGGGUUGUAAAGCACUUUCAGCGGGGAGGAAGGCGGUGAGGUUAAUAACCUCAUCGAUUGACGUUACCCGCAGAAGAAGCACCGGCUAACUCCGUGCCAGCAGCCGCGGUAAUACGGAGGGUGCAAGCGUUAAUCGGAAUUACUGGGCGUAAAGCGCACGCAGGCGGUCUGUCAAGUCGGAUGUGAAAUCCCCGGGCUCAACCUGGGAACUGCAUUCGAAACUGGCAGGCUAGAGUCUUGUAGAGGGGGGUAGAAUUCCAGGUGUAGCGGUGAAAUGCGUAGAGAUCUGGAGGAAUACCGGUGGCGAAGGCGGCCCCCUGGACAAAGACUGACGCUCAGGUGCGAAAGCGUGGGGAGCAAACAGGAUUAGAUACCCGAGUAGUC
rnacentral:rRNA from 1 species